rnacentral:rRNA from 1 species
UACGGGGGGGGCAAGCGUUGUUCGGAAUUACUGGGCGUAAAGGGCUCGUAGGCGGCCAACUAAGUCGGACGUGAAAUCCCCAGGCUCAACCUGGGAACUGCGUCCGAUACUGGAUGGCUUGAAUUCGGGAGAGGGAUGCAGAAUUCCAGGUGUAGCGGUGAAAUGCGUAGAUAUCUGGAGGAAUACCGGUGGCGAAGGCGGCAUCCUGGACCGACAUUGACGCUGAUGAGCGAAAGCCAGGGGAGGAAACGGG